rnacentral:misc_RNA from 1 species
ACGAGUUAGGGUCUUCCAGGCCCGAUCUCCCAACCCUUUGUUUACACAAACCGUUUUGUUGCUUCGGCGAGCCCGUCUUCACGGACCGUCGGGGGACCUGUCUAGGACCCCUGGCCCGCGCUCGUCGAUGGCCCAAACCUUUAAAUUCUUAACUAAACGUGUCAUGACUGAGUACCAAUUUUUUAAUUAAAAAGCA